UGGGGAAUUUUGCACAAUGGGGGAAACCCUGAUGCAGCGACGCCGCGUGAUUUAGAAGGCCUUCGGGUUGGAAAAAUCUUUUCUAUGAGAAGAAAAUGACAGUACCAUAGGAAUAAGGACCGGCUAAUUACGUGCCAGCAGCCGCGGUAAUACGUAAGGUCCGAGCGUUGUCCGGAAUCAUUGGGCGUAAAGGGUACGUAGGCGGGUAAGCAAGUUAGAAGUGAAAUCCUAUAGCUCAACUAUAGUAAGCUUUUAAAACUGCUCAUCUUGAGGUAUGGAAGUGAAAGUUGAAUUCCUAGUGUAGCGGUGAAAUGCGCAGAUAUUAGGAGGAAUACCGGUGGCGAAGGCGACUUUCUGGCCAUAACCUGACGCUGAGGUACGAAAGCGUGGGUAGCAAACAGG
rnacentral:rRNA from 1 species